rnacentral:rRNA from 1 species
GUCCUUAGUUACCAGCACGUUAUGGUGGGCACUCUAAGGAGACUGCCGGUGACAAACCGGAGGAAGGUGGGGAUGACGUCAAGUCAUCAUGGCCUUACGGCCUGGGCUACACACGUGCUACAAUGGUCGGUACAAAGGGUUGCCAAGCCGCGAGGUGGAGCUAAUCCCAUAAAACCGAUCGUAGUCCGGAUCGCAGUCUGCAACUCGACUGCGUGAAGUCGGAAUCGCUAGUAAUCGUGAAUCAGAAUGUCACGGUGAAUACGUUCCCGGGCCUU